rnacentral:rRNA from 2 species
UGGGGAAUAUUGGGCAAUGGGCGAAAGCCUGACCCAGCGACGCCGCGUGAGGGAAGACGGUCUUCGGAUUGUAAACCUCUUUUAUAAGGGACGAAGAAAUGACGGUACCUUAUGAAUAAGCCACGGCUAACUACGUGCCAGCAGCCGCGGGAAUACGUAGGUGGCAAGCGUUAUCCGGAUUUACUGGGUGUAAAGGGUGUGUAGGCGGGAUGGUAAGUCAGAUGUGAAAAUUAUGGGCUCAACUCAUAACCUGCAUUUGAAACUGCUGUUCUUGAGGUUCGGAGAGGUAGACGGAAUUCCUGGUGUAGCGGUGAAAUGCGUAGAUAUCAGGAGGAACACCGGUGGCGAAGGCGGUCUACUGGACGAAUACUGACGCUGAGACACGAAAGCGUGGGGAGCAAACAGG